rnacentral:rRNA from 1 species
CCUACGGGAGGCAGCAGUGAGGAAUAUUGGUCAAUGGGCGUAAGCCUGAACCAGCCAAGUCGCGUGAGGGAUGAAGGUUCUAUGGAUCGUAAACCUCUUUUACAAGGGAAUAAAGUGUGGGACGUGUCCUAUUUUGUAUGUACCUUAUGAAUAAGGAUCGGCUAACCCCGUGCCAGCAGCCGCGGUAAUACGGAGGAGCCGAGCGUUAACCGGAUUUAUUGGGGUUAAAGGGUGCGUAGGCGGCCUGUUAAGUCAGGGGUGAAAGUCUGUGGCUCAACCAUAGAAUUGCCGUUGAAACUGGGGGGCUUGAGUAUGUUAGAGGCAGGCGGAAUGCGUGGUGUAGCGGUGAAAUGCGUAGAUAUCACGCAGAACCCCGAUGGCGAAGGCAGCCUGCCGGGCCAUGACUGACGCUGAGGCACGAAAGCGUGGGGAUCAAACAGGAUUAGAUACCCGUGUAGUC